CGCGGCCUAUCAGCUUGUUGGUGAGGUAAUGGCUCACCAAGGCAUCGACGGGUAGCUGGUCUGAGAGGACGAUCAGCCACACUGGGACUGAGACACGGCCCAGACUCCUACGGGAGGCAGCAGUAGGGAAUCUUGCGCAAUGGGGGAAACCCUGAUGCAGCAACGCCGCGUGUGGGAUGACGGCUUUCGGGUUGUAAACCACUUUCAGUGAUGACGAAAAUGACGGUAAUCACAGAAGAAGGUCCCGCCAACUACGUGCCAGCAGCCGCGGUAACACGUAGGGACCGAGCGUUGUCCGGAUUUAUUGGGCGUAAAGAGCUCGUAGGCGGUUCUGUAAGUCGGAUGUGAAAACUCAGGGCUCAACCCUGAGACGCCAUCUGAUACUGCAGUGACUAGAGUCCGGUAGAGGAAGAUGGAAUUCCUGGUGUAGCGGUGGAAUGCGCAGAUAUCAGGAGGAACACCAAUGGCGAAGGCAGUCUUCUGGGCCGGUACUGACGCUGAGGAGCGAAAGCAUGGGGAGCAAACAGGAUUAGAUACCCUGGUAGUCCAUGCCGUAAACGUUGGGCACUAGGUGUGGGGUCUUCUAACGGAUUCCGUGCCGUAGCUAACGCAUUAAGUGCCCCGCCUGGGGAGUACGG
rnacentral:rRNA from 1 species